ACGCUCGACACCUACGGGAGCAGCAGUGGGGAAUAUUGCACAAUGGGGGAAACCCUGAUGCAGCAACGCCGCGUGAAGGAAGACGGUUUUCGGAUUGUAAACUUCUGUUCUUAGUGAAGAUAGUGACGGUAGCUAAGGAGCAAGCCACGGCUAACUACGCGCCAGCAGCCGCGGUAAUCUGAGCGGGCUGGCAAGGC
rnacentral:rRNA from 1 species